rnacentral:rRNA from 1 species
AGUGUAGGUGGCAAUUUAAGUGAAAUGUGAAAGACCAAGGCUUAACUUUGGAACUGCAAUUCAUACUGGAUAGCUAGAGUGCAGGAGGGGUAUGUGGAACUCCUAGUGUAGCGGUGGAAUGCGUAGAUAUUAGGAAGAACACCAGAGGCGAAGGCGACAUACUGGACUGUAACUGACACUGAGACUCGAAAGCGUGGGGAUCAAACA